UAAAGAGGUAUGUGACUGUAGGUGGAGGUAUAGAGGUAUGUGACUGUAGGUGGAGGUAUAGAGGUAUGGGACUGUAGGUGGAGGUAUGGGACUGUAGGUGGAGGUAAAGAGGUAUGUGACUGUAGGUGGAGGUAAAGAGGUAUGUGACUGUAGGUGGAGGUAUAGAGGUAUGGGACUGUAGGUGGAGGUAAAGAGGUAUGGGACUGUAGGUGGAGGUAUAGAGGUAUGGGACUGUAGGUGGAGGUAUAGAGGUAUGGGACUGUAGGUGGAGGUAUGUGACUGUAGGUGGAGGUAAAGAGGUAUGUGACUGUAGGUGGAGGUAUAGAGGUAUGGGACUGUAGGUGGAGGUAAA